AAAAUUUUAAGUUAAAUAAACUAGUAACCUUCAAAGUUAAAUAUAAUUUAUAAUUAAAUUUUA
rnacentral:tRNA from 1 species